GACGAACGCUGGCGGCGUGCCUAAUACAUGCAAGUCGAACGCAGUGGGGACGGGUGAGUAACACGUGGGUAACCUCCCAUAAGAUGGGAUAACAUUUGGAAACAGGUGCUAAACCGAUACUGAUGGAUGAACCCGCGGUGCAUUAGCUAGUUGGUGAGGUAACGGCUCAACAAGGCCAAGAUGCAUCGGCGACCUGAGAGGUUGGUCAGCAACACUAGGGCUGAGCAAAGACCCAAAGUCCUACGGGAGGCAGCAGUGGGGACUCUUCGGCAAUGGGCGAAAGUCUAACCGCGCAACGCCGCGUGAGGGAAGAAGGUUUUCGGAUCGUAGAGCUAUGUUGUUAGGGAAGCGGUAUCUGAAAAUAGAGCAACGGCUAACUACGUGCCAGCAGCCGCGGUAAUAC
rnacentral:rRNA from 1 species